GCACGGAGCGCCCGGACCAUGUUCCUGGCACAAGGGGAACACAGCGGGUUUUGGGAAGAGACGCACGGUCCCACCCGGGCCGCGGGGGCGAGGGAGGAAAGGAGAGAGGGAAGGAGAAAGAGAGGAGAGAGGGACGGCCCGAAGCUCCAAACCCUACGCGAAGAGCAGAGCCAGGCGUGAGCGGAAGAGUACAGGUCUGAA